GGCUGGGGGAGGGGAUGCGAAAGGGGCGGGGCAAGGAGGGGCCAGGCCCCGCCCUCCCGCAGGUGACCGCGGAGGCUGAGCGGCUGCAAGCGGGGGCCGGGCCCGGGGGCGGGGUCUGUCGCGCGCGCCCCCCACGUGUCCCCGGUCCCCGGCCCUGCCCCCGGGCCGGCGCUUAUAACUCGGGAUGCGCGCCCCGGCCGACCCUGCUCCGUCGCCUGCCGCCGCCGCCUGGCCCGGAGACGUUCACUGAGCCGUGAAGACAGAUUCCAGACGCCGGGGAACCCACACCUCCAAUCCCAGGCGAGAUGUCCAGCAAAGGCUCCGUGGUUCUGGCCUACAGUGGCGGCCUCGACACCUCCUGCAUCCUGGUGUGGCUGAAGGAACAGGGCUACGACGUCAUUGCCUACCUGGCCAACAUCGGCCAGAAGGAAGACUUUGAGGAAGCCAGGAAGAAGGCGCUGAAGCUCGGGGC